rnacentral:rRNA from 1 species
GGGGAUAACACUUGGAAACAGGUGCUAAUACCGUAUAACAAUCGAAACCGCAUGGUUUUGAUUUGAAAGGCGCUUUCGGGUGUCGCUGAUGGAUGGACCCGCGGUGCAUUAGCUAGUUGGUGAGGUAACGGCUCACCAAGGCCACGAUGCAUAGCCGACCUGAGAGGGUGAUCGGCCACAUUGGGACUGAGACACGGCCCAAACUCCUACGGGAGGCAGCAGUAGGGAAUCUUCGGCAAUGGACGAAAGUCUGACCGAGCAACGCCGCGUGAGUGAAGAAGGUUUUCGGAUCGUAAAACUCUGUUGUUAGAGAAGAACAAGGAUGAGAGUAACUGUUCAUCCCUUGACGGUAUCUAACCAGAAAGCCACGGCUAACUACGUGCCAGCAGCCGCGGUAAUACGUAGGUGG